CGUAGGCGGUCAGGUAAGUCAGUGGUGAAAGCCCAUCGCUCAACGGUGGAACGGCCAUUGAUACUGUCUGACUUGAAUUAUUAGGAAGUAACUAGAAUAUGUAGUGUAGCGGUGAAAUGCUUAGAGAUUACAUGGAAUACCAAUUGCGAAGGCAGGUUACUACUAAUAUAUUGACGCUGAUGGACGAAAGCGUGGGUAGCGAACAGGAUUAGAUACCCUGGUAGUCCACGCCGUAAACGAUGGAUACUAGCUGUUGGGAGCAAUCUCAGUGGCUAAGCGAAAGUGAUAAGUAUCCCACCUGGGGAGUACGUUCGCAAGAAUGAAACUCAAAGGAAUUGACGGGGGCCCGCACAAGCGGUGGAGCAUGUGGUUUAAUUCGAUGAUACGCGAGGAACCUUACCAAGGCUUAAAUGUAGAUUGACCGGUUUGGAAACAGACUUUUCGCAAGACAAUUUACAAGGUGCUGCAUGGUUGUCGUCAGCUCGUGCCGUGAGGUGUCAGGUUAAGUCCUAUAACGAGCGCAACCCCUGUUGUUAGUUGCCAGCGAGUCAUGUCGGGAACUCUAACAAGACUGCCAGUGCAAACUGUGAGGAAGGUGGGGAUGACGUCAAAUCAUCACGGCCCUUACGCCUUGGGCUACACACGUGCUACAAUGGCCGGUACAGAGAGCAGCCACUGGGCGACCAGGAGCGAAUCUAUAAAACCGGUCACAGUUCGGAUCGGAGUCUGCUACUCGACUCCGUGAAGCU
rnacentral:rRNA from 1 species